GAUGAACGCUGGCGGCGUGCCUAAUACAUGCAAGUCGAGCGAACAGACGAGGAGCUUGCUCCUCUGACGUUAGCGGCGGACGGGUGAGUAACACGUGGAUAACCUACCUAUAAGACUGGGAUAACUUCGGGAAACCGGAGCUAAUACCGGAUAAUAUAUUGAACCGCAUGGUUCAAUAGUGAAAGACGGUUUUGCUGUCACUUAUAGAUGGAUCCGCGCCGCAUUAGCUAGUUGGUAAGGUAACGGCUUACCAAGGCAACGAUGCGUAGCCGACCUGAGAGGGUGAUCGGCCACACUGGAGCUGAGACACGGUCCAGACUCCUACGGGAGGCAGCAGUAGGGAAUCUUACGCAAUGGGCGAAAGCCUGACGGAGCAACGCCGCGUGAGUGAUGAAGGUCUUCGGAUCGUAAAGCUCUGUUAUUAGGGAAGAACAAAUGUGGAAGUAACUAUGCACGUCUUGACGGUACCUAAUCAGAAAGCCACGGCUAACUACGUG
rnacentral:rRNA from 1 species